UUGGAGGCAUCUUUUCUGUUAAGAUGAAGUUUUCUUCUGGAUCCUUGUCCUGAGAUGACUCUUUGGCUUACUUGGGUUUUCCAACUAGUCUUUCUUGACUUCGAGUAUUCCACGUUUAUUCUUCGAGCCAUCAAUUUUUGUCGCGGGCUCCUCAUCAUCUAUUCUGGAUGAAUUGAAUUGACAGGGAAGGACAUAUUGGUAUAUGCUCAAACCCAAACCAUUGAUACAC
rnacentral:lncRNA from 1 species